GUAAGGAAUAUCGCGCAAUGGACGAAAGUCAGACGCUGCGACGCCGGGUGGGCGACUGAAGGCCUACGGGUUGUAAAGCCCUUUUAUGGGGGAAUGAGAAACAAGGACUGGUACCCCAUGAAUAAGUCCCGGCUAGUUACGUGCCAUCAGGCGCGGUAAAACGUACGUGACAAGCGUUAUCCGGAUUCACUGGGCGUAAAGAGCGUUGAGGCGGUUCCGUAAGUUGGGCGUGAAAGCUCCGGGCUUAACCCGGAGAUGUCGUUCAAUACUGCGGUGCUUGAGGACAGCAGAGGAAGGUGGAAUUCCCGGUGUAGUGGUGAAAUGCGUAGAUAUCGGGAGGAACACCCGUGGCGAAGGCGGCCUUCUGGGCUGUUCCUGACGCUGAAGGCGAAAGCUAGGGGAGCGAACGGGAUUAGAUACCCCGGUAGUCCUAGCUGUAAACGAUGGAUGCUGGGUAUGGGGGGUGUAAAUUCCCUCUGUGCCGAAGCAAACGCGUUAAGCAUCCCGCCUGGGGACUACGGCCGCAAGGCUAAUACUCAAACGAAUUGACGGGGGCCCGCACAAGCAGCGGAGCGUGUGGUUUAAUUCGAUGCUACACGAAGAACCUUACCUGGGUUUGACAUGCACGUGGUAGGGAACCGAAAGGGGACCGACCUUCGGGAGCGUGCACAGGUGCUGCAUGGCUGUCGUCAGCUCGUGCCGUGAGGUGCCGGGAUAAGUCCCGUAACGAGCGCAACCCUUGCCCUUAGUUACAAGUGUUUAAG
rnacentral:rRNA from 1 species